UGCGUACCUUUUGUAUAAUGGGUCAGCGACUUAUAUUCUGUAGCAAGGUUAACCGAAUAGGGGAGCCGAAGGGAAACCGAGUCUUAACUGGGCGUUAAGUUGCAGGGUAUAGACCCGAAACCCGGUGAUCUAGCCAUGGGCAGGUUGAAGGUUGGGUAACACUAACUGGAGGACCGAACCGACUAAUGUUGAAAAAUUAGCGGAUGACUUGUGGCUGGGGGUGAAAGGCCAAUCAAACCGGGAGAUAGCUGGUUCUCCCCGAAAGCUAUUUAGGUAGCGCCUCGUGAAUUCAUCUCCGGGGGUAGAGCACUGUUUCGGCAAGGGGGUCAUCCCGACUUACCAACCCGAUGCAAACUGCGAAUACCGGAGAAUGUUAUCACGGGAGACACACGGCGGGUGCUAACGUCCGUCGUGAAGAGGGAAACAACCCAGACCGCCAGCUAAGGUCCCAAAGUCAUGGUUAAGUGGGAAACGAUGUGGGAAGGCCCAGACAGCCAGGAUGUUGGCUUAGAAGCAGCCAUCAUUUAAAGAAAGCGUAAUAGCUCACUGGUCGAGUCGGCCUGCGCGGAAGAUGUAACGGGGCUAAACCAUGCACCGAAGCUGCGGCAGCGACACUAUGUGUUGUUGGGUAGGGGAGCGUUCUGUAAGCCUGUGAAGGUGGCCUGUGAGGGUUGCUGGAGGUAUCAGAAGUGCGAAUGCUGACAUAAGUAACGAUAAAGCGGGUGAAAAGCCCGCUCGCCGGAAGACCAAGGGUUCCUGUCCAACGUUAAUCGGGGCAGGGUGAGUCGACCCCUAAGGCGAGGCCGAAAGGCGUAGUCGAUGGGAAACAGGUUAAUAUUCCUGUACUUGGUGUUACUGCGAAGGGGGGACGGAGAAGGCUAUGUUGGCCGGGCGACGGUUGUCCCGGUUUAAGCGUGUAGGCUGGUUUUCCAGGCAAAUCCGGAAAACCAAGGCUGAGGCGUGAUGACGAGGCACUACGGUGCUGAAGCGACAAAUGCCCUGCUUCCAGGAAAAGCCUCUAAGCAUCAGGUAACAUCAAAUCGUACCCCAAACCGACACAGGUGGUCAGGUAGAGAAUACCAAGGCGCUUGAGAGAACUCGGGUGAAGGAACUAGGCAAAAUGGUGCCGUAACUUCGGGAGAAGGCACGCUGAUAUGUAGGUGAAGCGACUUGCUCGUGGAGCUGAAAUCAGUCGAAGAUACCAGCUGGCUGCAACUGUUUAUUAAAAACACAGCACUGUGCAAACACGAAAGUGGACGUAUACGGUGUGACGCCUGCCCGGUGCCGGAAGGUUAAUUGAUGGGGUUAGCGGCAACGCGAAGCUCUUGAUCGAAGCCCCGGUAAACGGCGGCCGUAACUAUAACGGUCCUAAGGUAGCGAAAUUCCUUGUCGGGUAAGUUCCGACCUGCACGAAUGGCGUAAUGAUGGCCAGGCUGUCUCCACCCGAGACUCAGUGAAAUUGAACUCGCUGUGAAGAUGCAGUGUACCCGCGGCAAGACGGAAAGACCCCGUGAACCUUUACUAUAGCUUGACACUGAACAUUGAGCCUUGAUGUGUAGGAUAGGUGGGAGGCUUUGAAGUGUGGACGCCAGUCUGCAUGGAGCCGACCUUGAAAUACCACCCUUUAAUGUUUGAUGUUCUAACGUUGGCCCGUAAUCCGGGUUGCGGACAGUGUCUGGUGGGUAGUUUGACUGGGGCGGUCUCCUCCUAAAGAGUAACGGAGGAGCACGAAGGUUGGCUAAUCCUGGUCGGACAUCAGGAGGUUAGUGCAAUGGCAUAAGCCAGCUUGACUGCGAGCGUGACGGCGCGAGCAGGUGCGAAAGCAGGUCAUAGUGAUCCGGUGGUUCUGAAUGGAAGGGCCAUCGCUCAACGGAUAAAAGGUACUCCGGGGAUAACAGGCUGAUACCGCCCAAGAGUUCAUAUCGACGGCGGUGUUUGGCACCUCGAUGUCGGCUCAUCACAUCCUGGGGCUGAAGUAGGUCCCAAGGGUAUGGCUGUUCGCCAUUUAAAGUGGUACGCGAGCUGGGUUUAGAACGUCGUGAGACAGUUCGGUCCCUAUCUGCCGUGGGCGCUGGAGAACUGAGGGGGGCUGCUCCUAGUACGAGAGGACCGGAGUGGACGCAUCACUGGUGUUCGGGUUGUCAUGCCAAUGGCACUGCCCGGUAGCUAAAUGCGGAAGAGAUAAGUGCUGAAAGCAUCUAAGCACGAAACUUGC
rnacentral:rRNA from 1 species